GACAGAGGGUGCAAACGUUGUUCGGAAUUACUGGGCGUAAAGCGCGUGUAGGCUGCUUCGCAAGUCGGGUGUGAAAGCCCUGGGCUCAACCUAGGAAGUGCACUCGAAACUGCGGAGCUUGAGUCUCGGAGAGGAUCGCGGAAUUCUCGGUGUAGAGGUGAAAUUCGUAGAUAUGGGGAGGAACACCGGUGGCGAAGGCGGCCAUCUGGACGGAUACUGACGCUGAGACGCGAAAGCGUGGGGAGCAAACAGG
rnacentral:rRNA from 1 species